CGCGUAGGCGGCUUUAUAAGUCUGGAGUGAAAGUCCUCUUUUCAAGGGAGGAAUUGCUUUGGAAACUAUAGAGCUUGAGUGCAGGAGAGGUUAUUGGAAUUCCCGGUGUAGCGGUGAAAUGCGUAGAUACCGGGAGGAACAUCGGUGGCGAAGGCGGGUAACUGGACUGCAACUGACGCUGAGGCGCGAAAGUGUGGGGAAGCAAACA
rnacentral:rRNA from 1 species